AUUGAACGCUGGCGGCAGGCCUAACACAUGCAAGUCGAACGGUAGCACAGAGAGCUUACUCUCGGGUGACGAGUGGCGGACGGGUGAGUAAUGUCUGGGAAACUGCCCGAUGGAGGGGGAUAACUACUGGAAACAGUAGCUAAUACCGCAUAACGUCGCAAGACCAAAGUGGGGGACCUUCGGGCCUCACACCAUCGGAUGUGCCCAGAUGGGAUUAGCUAGUAGGUGGGGUAAUGGCUCACCUAGGCGACGAUCCCUAGCUGGUCUGAGAGGAUGACCAGCCACACUGGAACUGAGACACGGUCCAGACUCCUACGGGAGGCAGCAGUGGGGAAUAUUGCACAAUGGGCGCAAGCCUGAUGCAGCCAUGCCGCGUGUAUGAAGAAGGCCUUCGGGUUGUAAAGUACUUUCAGCGGGGAGGAAGGCGGUGAAGUUAAUAACUUCACCGAUUGACGUUACCCGCAGAAGAAGCACCGGCUAACUCCGUGCCAGCCGCCGCCGUAA
rnacentral:rRNA from 1 species